rnacentral:miRNA from 1 species
UUUUUGAAACACAGCGGUACUG